rnacentral:rRNA from 1 species
GGGUUGCCGCAGGCCUCCCGGGUAACCUACCACCCUUUGUUUAUUACACUUUGUUGCUUUGGCAGGCCUGCCCUCGGGCUGCUGGCUCCGGCCGGCGAGCGCCUGCCAGAGGACCUAAACUCUGUUUGUCUAUACUGUCUGAGUACUAUAUAAUAGUUAAAACUUUCAACAACGGAUCUCUUGGUUCUGGCAUCGAUGAAGAACGCAGCGAAAUGCGAUAAGUAAUGUGAAUUGCAGAAUUCAGUGAAUCAUCGAAUCUUUGAACGCACAUUGCGCCCCCUGGUAUUCCGGGGGGCAUGCCUGUCCGAGCGUCAUUACAACCCUCAAGCUCAGCUUGGUGUUGGGCCCCGCCGCCCCGGCGGGCCCUAAAGUCAGUGGCGGUGCCGUCCGGCUCCGAGCGUAGUAAUUCUUCUCGCUCUGGAGGCCCGGUCGCGUGCCCGCCAGCAACCCCCAAUUUUUUUCAGGUUGACCUCGGAUCAGGUAGGGAUACCCGCUGAACUUAAGCAUAUCAAUAAGCGGAGGAACAUUA